UUACAUUUUAACUCAACAUAAAUGACUCUGUGGAAAUCGUCUCCUAGGGUGUUAUGUACUUUGGUGAAUGAUAGAACUUGUAAACAAAACCUAUCAGUGGAUGAGAAUUUCGUAGACUCUUUAUUCUCCCAAUCAUAAUUAACGUGUUAAGUAUUUACUUAAUCAAGAAAAAUGUUCAUGCAUCUUUUAAGAAUUUGAAUAAGUUCAAAGAAAACUUCAAAUAGCACGUUCCAUGCACACAAACGCCCAAAGUAAAAUAAGAAAAAAUUGGAGAAAUUCAGAAGUAACAUUCCACAACCAUAAAUCAAAUCUGAAAUAAUACACCGCACCUAGCCCCAUACCCAACCCAACCGACCUAUGUUAAACGUCAAGAAAGAACUGCUUUUGAAUAUCGCCUCAAAUGAAGAUUUAUUUGUUAAGUAUGUUUUCUAUAUGUCACCUUAUAUUUUUUGAAAAAAAAGUAACACACUCGUUAUAAAUCUUAGCGCCUCGAAACAUUCAUCAAAAAAAUAUAAAAUUUCAAAAGAAGUGAAAAUGUAUCAAAUUAACUUGCA